GACAGAGGGUGCAAACGUUGUUCGGAAUUACUGGGCGUAAAGCGAGUGUAGGCGGUGUGGUAAGUCGGAUGUGAAAGCCCAGAGCUCAACUCUGGAACUGCCUUUGAAACUAGAGGACUUGGGUACGGGAGAGGUGAGUGGAAUUCCGAGUGUAGAGGUGAAAUUCGUAGAUAUUCGGAAGAACACCGGUGGCGAAGGCGGCUCACUGGCCCGUUACCGACGCUCAGGCGCGACAGCGUGGGGAGCAAACAGG
rnacentral:rRNA from 1 species